CCCUACGACCUCUGUUUCAGGAUAAAAUACCUAUACUUGUCUGUCAAAAAUGUUAUCCACCUUUCUUAAAAAUGCUGCAAUGGCUCUGUUGACAAUCAUCUCUGUUAUGCCAUAUAAUCUUUCUGCUGACCCCUGCGACAACUACACUGUGCUGGAUGAUCCAAGAAGAGACACCAAUUAUAAUUCCUCCAUCUACAUGUGUGACACCUCUGUCAAUUGGGUUGGCUGGUAUCGGCUUUACCUUAAUGGCCAAAAUGCUCAAAUGCCAGAAACAUGUGUUGUUAACUCAAGGUGUGGUACUGAUAUCCCACUAUGGCUAAGAGGUGGACACCCAAAACCUGAGGAUGGAGUGGUCACCAGAGGUGUUUGUGGUCGUUCGUUCAGUUACUGUUGCUUUUUCCGGUCAUUUCCCAUUAGAGUCAAAGCUUG